UUAACUGAAACCAAAAAGAGGUAUAUUAUUGUUAAUAAUAAAAAUGAAUUAAUAAUUCCAGUUAAG
rnacentral:tRNA from 4 species